AUCGAAGUCAUAUGGAAUGCGCUGGCGGGGAAGAUAAAACAGAUCCGCUGGGUGCGUUGCACACGGUGUAUAACGAGCGUUUUCGCUCAUUUUGAAAUUCAAGGUUGAGAUAGACAUGGAAACCGGUACCGUUAAGUGGUUCAACGACGCCAAGGGCUUCGGCUUCAUCACGCCGGAUGAAGGCGGCAACGAUCUGUUCGCGCACUUCUCCGCAAUUGAAGGCAACGGCUUCAAGUCGCUGAAGGAAGGCCAGAAGGUGCGCUACGUCAAGGCCAUGGGCCAGAAGGGCGAGCAAGCCACCAAGAUCCAGGCCCUCUGAUACCGGUGAGGCCCGGGCUGGUCCGACGGACCGGCCGGCACGAAAGCCCCGCAGCCUUGCGGGGCUUUUUGU
rnacentral:misc_RNA from 1 species